rnacentral:rRNA from 1 species
UCUAGUGACUGGAGUUCAGACGUGUGCUCUUCCGAUCUGCUGAAGUGAAACAUCUCAGUAAGCGGAGGAAAAGAAAGAGAAAUCGAUUCCGUAAGUAGUGGCGAGCGAAAGCGGAUGGAGCCCAAACCGAAGGUAUUCCUUCGGGGUUGUAGGACCACGUCAUAUUCGACCAUACUGGAUAGUAGAACAGCCUGGAAAGGCUGGCCGGAGAAGGUGAAAGCCCUGUAGACGAAAUCCAGAGUGGGAAUUAGUGGUAUCCUGAGUAAUACAUCACACGUGGAACGAUGUAUGAACCCGCGCGGACCACCGCGCAAGGCUAAAUACUAGUUGGCGACCGAUAGUGAACAAGUACCGCGAGGGAAAGGUGAAAAGAACCGCUGUGAGCGGAGUGAAAUAGAACCUGAAACCGUAUGUCUACAAAGUGUCAGAGCAGAGCAAUCUGCGAUGGCGUGCCUUUUGUUUAAUGAGUCUGCGAGUCAGUGUUUGUGGCAAGACUAAGGGCUUCCGGCCCGGAGUCGCAGCGAAAGCAAGUCCGAACAGGGCGCAAUAAGUCGCAGGUACUGGACCCGAAGCGGAGGUGACCUACCCUUGGCCAGGUUGAAGCAUGGGUAAAACCAUGUGGAGGACCGAACAGGUGAACGUUGAAAAGUUCUCUGAUGAGCUGAGGGUAGGAGUGAAAGGCUAAUCAAACCCCGUGAUAGCUGGUUCUCUUCGAAAUGCAUUUAGGUGCAGCGUCACGUGCUGAUGCGCGGGGGUAGAGCACUGACAAGGCUAGGGGGCACACCCGCUUACCAAACCUUAUCAAACUCCGAAUACCGUGCAAUGGAACGUGGCAGUGAGACAGUGGGGGAUAAGCUUCAUUGUCGAGAGGGAAACAACCCAGACCAGCAGCUAAGGUGCCUAAAUAACGCUCAGUGGAAAGGAUGUGGGAUUACACAGACAGUGAGGAUGUUGGCUUAGAAGCAGCCACCAUUUAAAAAAUGCGUAAUAGCUUACUCAUCGAGUGAUCCUGCGCCGAAAAUGAUUGGCGAUCAAGCGUUAUACCGAAGCUCUGGACUUUGCCGCAAGGCAGAGUGGUAGAAGAGCGUUGCAUGCGCGUCGAAGGGCGAUGGCGACUGACCCUGGAGCACAUGCAAGUGAGUAUGCAGACAUGAGUAACGUUAAGCCGGGUGAAAUCCCCGGCCGCCGUAAACCCGAGGUUUCCAGGGCAACGUGUUUCGUCCCUGGGUUAGCCGGGACCUAAGCCGAGGCCGAGAGGCGUAGGCGAUGGACAUCAGGUUAAUAAUCCUGAGCUCGCAACCCUUAAACUGGGGGGACGCAUGAGAAAAGAUGACUAGGUUAUUGAAUUCCGAGUUGAGUCCACGGACUCAGCGCAUCAUUGGAUCGAGUGCCAAGAAAAGCCCCAGCGUAUGCUAAGCGACCCGUACCGCAAACCGACACAGGUGGGUGGGUAGAAUAUACCAAGGCGUAAGAGUGAAACCUGGUUAAGGAACUCGGCAAAUUAGCCCCGUAACUUCGGAAGAAGGGGUGCCUGCAGCGAUGCAGGCCGCAGAGAAAUGGCCCAACCGACUGUUUAUCAAAAACACAGCACUCUGCAAAGACGCAAGUCGAAGUAUAGGGUGUGACACGUGACCAAUGCCGAAAGAUUAAGGCAAGGGGUUAGCCGCAAGGCGAAGCUCUAAACCCAAGUCCCGGUGAAUGUCGGCCGUAACAAUAACGGUCCUAAGGUAGCGAAAUUCCUUGUCGGGUAAGUUCCG